ACAUGUAGCUCAGUGGUAGAGCACUUGCCUAGCUUGCAUGAGGCCCUGGGUUCCAUCUCCAGCACUGAA
rnacentral:tRNA from 1 species